GCAUUGAUGCCGCCACUGAGGUGGUGGUGAAGGCACUAGUGGAGAUGAGCCGGCCAAUCAGCUCCAAGGAAGAGAUUGCAUCCGUCGCCACCAUCUCUGCCAAUA
rnacentral:ribozyme from 1 species